rnacentral:misc_RNA from 1 species
AAAAAAAUAGAUAUUCCAAAUGGUCGGGUUGGUGUUAUCAUUGGGAAAGGUGGAGAGACAAUUAAAUAUCUGCAGAUUCAGUCUGGAGCAAAGAUUCAGGUUACUCGAGAUAUGGAUGCAGAUCCCAAUUCACCAACUAGGAUGGUGGAGCUCAUGGGUACUCCUGAACAAAUUGCAAAGGCAGAACAGUUGAUAAAUGAAGUUCUUGCAGAGGCUGAAGCAGGAGGUUCUGGCACUGUUUCCAAAAGGUUUACUGGACAAGGUGGUUCUGAACAUUUUGCAAUGAAAAUUCCUAAUAACAAGGUUGGUCUGGUAAUUGGCAAAGGAGGUGACACAAUCAAGAACAUGCAAGCGAGGACUGGAGCUCGUAUUCAGGUGAUACCUUUGCAUUUACCCCCAGGUGAUACGUCAACAGAAAGGAGUGUGCAUAUAGAGGGGACUAGUGAACAGAUUGAACAUGCUAAGCAGUUGGUUAAUGAAGUUAUCAGUGAGAAUCGUGCAAGGAAUCAAUCAAUGGCUGGAGGUUACCCGCAGCAAGGAUAUCAAACACGACCACCUACAAGCUGGGGCCCACCUGGAGCUCCUCCAAUGCAGCAACCUGGUUAUGGCUA